rnacentral:misc_RNA from 1 species
UUUCCGUAGGUGAACCUGCGGAGGGAUCAUUAUUGUAUAACAUAACUGAUAGGGCUUUCUCUAACCCGAAAGGUGUUGCACGCCCGAGGGCCCUCACGCACAUCCAUCUCACCCCUAUGUGCACCACCUGGUGGAUCCCGCUGUGGCUUCUGCGUGGUGUGGCUGACCUUUUCACACAAUCUAUGUAGGCAGUCUAGAAUGUAUUUUUUAUUUUUACGAUCGCGGAAUCAAAGCAACUUUCAACGACGGCUCGCUUCGCUCUCGGAUCUAUGAAGAACC